GACGAACGCUGGCGGCGUGCCUAAUACAUGCGAGUAGAACGCUGAAGGAGGAGCUUGCUUCUCUGGAUGAGUUGCGAACGGGUGAGUAACGCGUAGGUAACCUGCCUGGUAGCGGGGGAUAACUAUUGGAAACGAUAGCUAAUACCGCAUAAUAGUAGAUGUCGCAUGACAUUUGCUUAAAAGGUGCAAUUGCAUCACUACCAGAUGGACCUGCGUUGUAUUAGCUAGUUGGUGAGGUAACGGCUCACCAAGGCAACGAUACAUAGCCGACCUGAGAGGGUGAUCGGCCACACUGGGACUGAGACACGGCCCAGGCUCCUACGGGAGGCAGCAGUAGGGAAUCUUCGGCAAUGGACGGAAGUCUGACCGAGCAACGCCGCGUGAGUGAAGAAGGUUUUCGGAUCGUAAAGCUCUGUUGUAAGAGAAGAACGAGUGUGAGAGUGGAAAGUUCACACUGUGACGGUAUCUUACCAGAAAGGGACGGCUAACUACGUG
rnacentral:rRNA from 1 species